rnacentral:rRNA from 1 species
GAUGAACGCUGGCGGCGUGCCUAAUACAUGCAAGUCGAGCGAAUGGAUUAAGAGCUUGCUCUUAUGAAGUUAGCGGCGGACGGGUGAGUAACACGUGGGUAACCUGUCCAUAAGACUGGGAUAACUCCGGGAAACCGGGGCUAAUACCGGAUAACAUUUUGAACCGCAUGGUUCGAAAUUGAAAGGCGGCUUCGGCUGUCACUUAUGGAUGGACCCGCGUCGCAUUAGCUAGUUGGUGAGGUAACGGCUCACCAAGGCAACGAUGCGUAGCCGACCUGAGAGGGUGAUCGGCCACACUGGGACUGAGACACGGCCCAGACUCCUACGGGAGGCAGCAGUAGGGAAUCUUCCGCAAUGGACGAAAGUCUGACGGAGCAACGCCGCGUGAGUGAUGAAGGCUUUCGGGUCGUAAAACUCUGUUGUUAGGGAAGAACAAGUGCUAGUUGAAUAAGCUGACACCUUGACGGUACCUAACCAGAAAGCCACGGCUAACUACAUGCCAGCCGCCGCAGUAA